AACGCGGUACCAAUGUUAUGGAUAAUCCUAAUAUAAAUGAAUGCAAAAUCUCAUUAGAUACUGUUUUAAACAUUUACAAAAUCAUACGGAAUGAAAUGGAGAAAGCUGUUCAAUGUAGAGCAAGUAAUGAUUGAUAAAAACAUAUGUAUUGAACGAUUCACUCGAAUUGUAUUAAAUAUUGUAUAAGAUAUGGUAUAUUAAUAAAAAAAAAUUAAUAUGAGUGGUUGAAUUAAGUAUGUAGUAUGAUGACAAAUAAAUAAAAAAUACGACUUUAUAUAGAGAA